GAUGAACGCUGGCGGCAUGCCUAAUACAUGCAAGUCGAACGAGUCGCGCACGGGUGAAUCACGUCUGGGACACUGCCUUAUGGAUGGGGAAAACUCCUGGAACCGGUGGUUAAUCCCGCAUACCAUUCGAUUUUCCCAGGGUGCAUUAGCUAGUUGGUGGGGUAACGGCUUACCAAGGCGACGAUCCCUAGCUGGUCUGAGAGGGUGACCAGCCACACUGGAACUGAGACACGGUCCAGACUCCUACGGGAGGCAGCAGUGGGGAAUAUUGCGCAAUGGGCGAAAGCCUGAUGCAGCAAUGCCGCGUGUAUGAAGAAGGCCUUCGGGUUGUAAAGUACUGUCAGCGGGGAGGCGGUACCCGAAGAGGAAGCAACGGCUAACUCCGUGCCAGCAGCCGCGGUAAUAC
rnacentral:rRNA from 1 species